CCCGGGAACCCGCUGCGGCGCGCGUGAUCCGCCUGUGUCCUCCGGCCUGGCCGCCCGGGCGGCGCGUGUCGACUCCCCGGCUCCCCGUGGUCCCUUCUCCGGCCAAUAAGGUGAAAUGUAGCCGCUCCGGCGGGCAAAGCCAUCCCGGAGGUCGCGGCGUAGAGAGGCUUUAUGAUUUAUUUUUUGGUAAUUCGUACUUUAACCUCCUGCAGCUGCAUCCCGUGGAGAGGAAGUGCUGCCUGCUGCAUAUGUAUACGGGUGGGGGCGGCGUAUUCCUGCCUGCGCCUUAUCAUAAGUAAAGCCCAUCAACUUUAAAUGGGAUGUGUGCCCUGGUAAGGGGGUGGUAUAUAGGAUUGCAGCCUAAAAGCAGGCGCAAAUUCCAGUGGCUGCCAUGGGUUAAGCCCCGGAAGCUGUUCUGCAUGCCUGCCGGAGCCAUAUGAGGUUGAGGAAUCCUCAAGAGCCGUGAGAUCGUGAAUCUCUGGAUCUCUACAUUUUGGAAUGGUUGAGACGGAAGGGACCGGUUCUGCAAAUCAAAGUGGUUGGGUGGGCAGUGACUUGAGUCAGUCCUUCAAGUGAAAUAGUCCAGAGCUGUUAAUGGGUUUAUAUGCUAAUAGCAAUAUCUUGAAUUUGGCCCCGUAACGAAUUGGCAGCCAGUUCAAAUAUCCCUCCAGUCAGCAGUUGUGCUGCAGCAUUCUGCACUAACUUCAGUUUCUGGACCAAGCACGAGGGGAAUCCUACAUGGGAUGUAUUGCGGUAAUCCAUUCAUGAAGUCCGUACUACCUGGACUGCUGUGAUCAAGUUCUCUCAGGCCAGAAGCAACCACAUGCCAGCUGAAGCCAAUCAAAGGUGCUCAUAGCCACUGAGGCUACCAAGGCCUCCACAAAACUGGAUCCAUAAGCACCUGCAGAUUGGGUACCUGCUCCUUCAGGGGGAUGCAACUCUGACUAGGUCAGGAAAAUGGCCACUUCCUCAGACAUGGGAACCAUUUGCUCACAGUGCCUCCAUCUUGUUAACAUCUAAGUUUGACUUGUUUUCCUUCAGCCCACUACUGCUGGGCCCACACAGCUACUCCUGAUUCAGAUGCUGCAGAGAAAUAGAGCUGAGUGUCAUCAGUAUACUGAUGGCACCUUGCCCCACAUCACCUAAGCCCUGGCUGCAGCACUAUCAUUGGGAAUAAAAUAGUGCCCUGCAGCACCCCGUAGUGUAACUGCUAGGGAGCCAAAAGUGUUCUCCCAAUGCUGCCCUCUGGACUUGGCUACAUAGAUGAGACUGGAACCACUGUAAAAUGGUUCCUCCAUUUUCGUUGGACUGGUCAUGUUGUGCAGAUGCCUGAUUAUCGUCUUCCAAAACUACUCUAUUCCGAACUUAGAAAUGGAAAACGUAAUGCUGGUGGUCAGCAAAAGAGGUUUAAAGACUCUCUCAAGGUAAAUCUUUUAAAAAUGUAGUAUAAACACCAGCAACUGGGAAACGCUGGCCUGUGAGUGCUCCAAAUGGAGAACAGCCUUUUACGAAAGGUGUCAUGGGCUUUGAAGAUGCUCAAACUCGGGACGAAAGGGAGAAACGUGCUAAAAGGAAGGCACACUUGGCAAACCCUCACCAUGAUCAACUCCCACCCAGAAACCUCUGUCCCCAUUGUGGAAGGAUGUGUGGAUCCAAAAUUGGCUACCACAGUCACUUACGGACUCACUGUUAAAACCGUUUUUAUGGAAGACAAUCUUACUUGGCCAUGAGUGAUCGCCAAAGAAGAAGAAGUUCCUCCAAACCCAUCCCACAGAACUGGCCCUGAAAGAUGCCAUAGUCUAUGAUACCAAAAGCUACAGUGAGGUUGCACUCCCCUUGUUCUGUUCUUGGUUAAGGUUAUCCAUCAGGGCAGAUGGAUCCAUUCAGUGCUAUGGAUAUAAAAGACACUGCACAUGCUCAGAGAAAUUACAUAUUUCUUAUAACUUCAGAUGUCCCAAGAUUAAACACUGAUGUUCAAAACUGUACCAGUGGCUGCAAUCCCAUGCACACUUACCACUGACCUUGAUGAGACUAACUUCUGAGUAAACAUGCAUAAGGGUUGAGCCAAAAGACUGAACUGUCUGAACCUAAAACUGUGAUUAUUUCAUUUUUUCCAUCCACUUGCCCCAGAGUAUUCGGGAAUACAGAGAAAUACAGCUUGAUGUGUGGUGCUUUGGCCUCUAAUAGAAUGAGCAGCUUUUAUUGGCACAAGCAGGAUUCCCUGUAACAGCCAUUGUGCAACCAUAUCCAGGGCAGAAUUAAACCCCCUGAAUUUAAUAGGUUUAAACCCACAUAACUUGUAGCAUUAGAUGAAACAUAGGCUAAAGGCCAGGCCAAUACAUUUUGCUGCCUGAGGCAAAGACAAGAUUCCAGGUAGAGUUGAAUCUUACUUCAGCACUGGUAACAGGACAGCAUCCUUCUUCCUCAGGGUACUUAAGGGAAGCUGGCUAGCUUAAGAGGGGCGAAGCAGGCUGGCUUAGACAACUCAGGGGGAUGGGGAUGGGGAUUGCAGUUGCCCCAGGAUCUGCUGCCCGAAUCAGCUUCCUGCCUAAUGGUAGGGCCGGCACUUCAUAGGAUUACAUGAUGCCAGAGUGUCUGUCAAUGUGGGUCUGCACUCCACAUGGAAUAAUGCAAACGCCCCCCUGGAUUCCACCACAAUUCUUCCAGGAAGUCUGUCAGCACCACAUUGUCCUUGGAUUUACACACAUGCAUGCAGAGUUUGGCACAUAAGGAGGAACUGUUCUUGUGGAACAAGUUUGUACGAAGGCUGUCAAACUACUUUGAAAAUAAUCUUUCUCAGAUGAGUUUCCUCUAGUCAAGGGAAAAAAGCCUUUUCAAUCAUCCCCAAGUACAAUGCAAAAAAGGGGGGAAAGCAAAGUGGGGGGGGGGCAGAGCGAGAGAGAGAGAAAAUACCAAAAAUAGAUAUGUUUAACAAUCUUACAUUUUGCAAACUGUCCCAUAAAUAUUCAGCUUGCUAGAUCCUCAGCCGGCCUAAAUCAGCACAGGUCUGCAGAUUUCAAGGACACCAUUCCAAUUUACACCAGUUGAGAGUUUUCCUAUAACAUGCGGAGAACAUCUAUUCUAAAUAAGAAGAAAGUAAUUUUUCCCCAUGAGUGACAAAAAUACUUUGCAACUGAGGAUGCCUUUGGCAUGAAUAUAUUAAGCGGGGAAAUCUUCCCAACUACACGAAACAUAAUCAUCCCUCACAUGUGGCAGAUUUGUUUACUCUGUAAAGAUUCGAUGCAGUUGAUUAAUUAUCAGUAUCUGCAGAGCGUUAGGGUAACAAGGCAGCUCUGAUGAGAGGAUUAUUGGAGUACAUGCUCAGAAUACAUAUCAACUCAAAUGUGUCAUAUAUGCUUGGAAUAUUUAUCAGACUGUAAUGGACUAAUAUUAUUUUUUUGUCCACAAUUAGUCAGUGACCAUCAAUAACUCUCCAGAGACAAUGAAUUGAGGUUUUUCCCCCUGUAGGAUUUUAGCAAUCAAGAGAGAGGAAAUAUUAUUCAAUCAUUUGUACAUGAUUAAUCGCAUUCAACCAUUAAGCAAUUUCUAUCCCCUGAGUUAAAUCAUUGUUAUUCUGAGCUGGUAAAAGAUUUGCAUAAAUGCAAGAUGCCAAUGAC